UACGUAGGGGGCGAGCGUUGUCCGGAUUUACUGGGCGUAAAGGGUGAGUAGGCGGUUAUAUAUGUCAGGUGUAAAAGCUAUGGCUUAACCAUAGUAAGCACUUGAAACUGUAUGACUUGAGUGCAGGAGAGGUAAGCGGAAUUCCUAGUGUAGCGGUGAAAUGCGUAGAUAUUAGGAGGAACACCGGUGGCGAAGGCGGCUUACUGGACUGUAACUGACGCUGAGUCACGAAAGCGUGGGUAAGCAAACAGGAUUAGAUACCCGUGUAGUCCCCU
rnacentral:rRNA from 1 species